UCAUCUCUUAAAGGUCUCCGGUGCGCUCGUAAUAUGAAAUAAAACCUUUAAAAUCGGUAACCGCUUAAGAAAUGAAAGGUGUGGGCCUACAAGUCAGUUAUUUUACUGCCAAGACUAGGCUACCUUCAGACAUCCCCAUCCGCUGUUUCCUGGUACAGGCGGCGCAACAUCCCGAUUCGUGCCCUGUCGGCAUAUGGCGACAACAGGAUGCCUCCUUUGUAAUUACGUAACAUUUUAUCCCUCUAGCAAUAAUAAAAUUACUGUCGUAAACUGCACGACUCUUACUACAUUCGUAUUCAGUGACAUUUGACACAAUACAGACCGUGCAGGUAAGAGGCGAGGAAACCAAUCGUCGUUUGAAUGCCAAAUUAAUAAUUUAUGACAAAAUGGAAACGGGCUCAGAUAGAGGACCGUUAGUGGGCUAUUAUAGUUCUCCUUCCUGGAUGUGUUGGAUAUGGAGAGCGAUAUCGCAGUCUUAAUGUAAAAGGAGGGGUGUAUCAUCUGUGCCGCAGUUUCGGUGCUGUUAGAAGUUGUCGGGCUGCAUCGUCUGAUGAUGGAGCAGAAGGUGCACCGUGGAAUAAAACCUGCACAGCCCGGACUGUUUCUUAAAGAGACAGUCACCUCUACAGUCCUGAUGAUUGGGGGCUUUCCCGCUGCGCCCCACCCAUUACACAGCAGAACAGAUCCUGUUCAUAAAUAGGCUGAUCGGAUCUCCAUAUGGAUCAAAGUUUUAGAAUGAGAGAGAAAACAAUCUUAAUCUGAUUAGAGUUGAUCACGUUAUACAUCUUAUCACGAUAUAUGUAUAGGCUAUGAUGUGCUGCUCAAAACUCUUUUGUAUGAUUGGAUCACCAUAGUACAGUGGGAUUAUUCUAAACCCAGCACAAUAAUUCAUUUCAGGAAUCAAAUGUAAUAAGACUUUAAACUGGUCAAACAAUAGUUCAUAACUUUUGUAUAAUUUUGUAUACAUUUCAGACAUUUUGAUUUUGCACUGGAUUUGUUUAACCAGUGCAAGGAAGAUGAUACAUUAAGGUAUCAAUUGGGACUUAUGUUGUUUAAAAAAAGUAUUAAAAAUAAUCUAACAAUCA